GGGUUGUGAGGUUAAGCGACUAAGCGUACACGGUGGAUGCCCUGGCAGUCAGAGGCGAUGAAGGGCGUGCUAAUCUGCGAUAAGCGCCGGUAAGGUGAUAUGAACCGUUAUAACCGGCGAUACCCGAAUGGGGAAACCCAGUGUGACUCGUCACACUAUCAUUAACUGAAUCCAUAGGUUAAUGAGGCGAACCGGGGGAACUGAAACAUCUAAGUACCCCGAGGAAAAGAAAUCAACCGAGAUUCCCCCAGUAGCGGCGAGCGAACGGGGAGGAGCCCAGAGCCUGAAUCAGCAUGUGUGUUAGUGGAAGCGUCUGGAAAGGCGCGCGAUACAGGGUGACAGCCCCGUACACAAAAGCGCAUGUGCUGUGAGCUCGAUGAGUAGGGCGGGACACGUGGUAUCCUGUCUGAAUAUGGGGGGACCAUCCUCCAAGGCUAAAUACUCCUGACUGACCGAUAGUGAACCAGUACCGUGAGGGAAAGGCGAAAAGAACCCCGGCGAGGGGAGUGAAAAAGAACCUGAAACCGUGUACGUACAAGCAGUGGGAGCACCCUUUGGGUGUGACUGCGUACCUUUU
rnacentral:rRNA from 1 species